UCCCUGGUGGCUCAGACUGUAAAGAGUCUGCCUGCAAUGCAGGAGACCCAGGUUCGAUUCCUGGUCAGGAAG
rfam:Ovis aries breed Texel chromosome 5, whole genome shotgun sequence.